rnacentral:rRNA from 1 species
GACGAACGCUGGCGGCGUGCUAAACACAUGCAAGUCGAACGGGAAGGCCCUUCGGGGUACUCGAGUGGCGAACGGGUGAGUAACACGAGGGUGAUCUGCCCUGCACUUUGGGAUAAGCCUGGGAAACUGGGUCUAAUACCGAAUAGGACCACGGCCUUCAUGGGUUGUGGUGGAAAGCUUUUGCGGCGUGGGAUGGGCCCGCGGCCUAGCAGCUUGUUGGUGGGGUAAGGGCCUACCAAGGCGACGACGGGUAGCCGGUCUGAGAGGGUGACCGGCCACACUGGGACUGGGAUACGGCCCAGACUCCUACGGGGGGCAGCAGUGGGGAAUAUUGCACAAUGGGCGCAAGCCUGAUGCAGCGACGCCGCGUGAGGGAUGGCGGCCUUCGGGUUGUAAACCUCUUUCAAUAGGGACGAAGCGCAAGUGACGGUACCUAUAGAAGAAGCACCGGCCAACUACGUGCCAGCCGCCGCCGUAAAAC